rnacentral:rRNA from 1 species
UACGUAGGGUGCAAGCGUUAAUCGGAAUUACUGGGCGUAAAGGGCGCGUAGGCGGCCACCGCAAGUCGACUGUGAAAUCUCCGGGCUUAACCCGGAAAGGUCAGCCGAUACUGCGGGGCUAGAGUGCAGAAGGGGCAACUGGAAUUCUCGGUGUAGCGGUGAAAUGCGUAGAUAUCGAGAGGAACACCUGCGGCGAAGGCGGGUUGCUGGGCUGACACUGACGCUGAUGCGCGAAAGCUAGGGGAGCGAACGGG